rnacentral:lncRNA from 1 species
GUUAGAUUAAAGAUAGACUUAAUUAGAGAAUUGACUAAAUCUAAUCAAUUAUUGUCUUAGAUUAGGUCAAGGAUUCUCUAGAUCAAUUACAAUAGUUGUAGUUGGUCAAGUCCAUGUCUUUAACGAGAACCAAAUGGACUUGAUUUUUGGCUAAGCGAUCUAGCACGAACUGUUAGGUUGAUCUAAUCAAAACUAAUCAAACCAGUUGGUAUCUAAGGUAA